rnacentral:rRNA from 1 species
GAAACGACUGCUAAUACCGCAUAAGCCCACGACCCGGCAUCGGGAAGAGGGAAAAGGAGCAAUCCGCUUUGAGAUGGCCUCGCGUCCGAUUAGCUAGUUGGUGAGGUAACGGCCCACCAAGGCAACGAUCGGUAGCCGGACUGAGAGGUUGAACGGCCACAUUGGGACUGAGACACGGCCCAGACUCCUACGGGAGGCAGCAGUGGGGAAUAUUGCACAAUGGGGGAAACCCUGAUGCAGCGACGCCGCGUGGAGGAAGAAGGUCUUCGGAUUGUAAACUCCUGUUGUUGAGGAAGAUAAUGACGGUACUCAACAAGGAAGUGACGGCUAACUACGUGCCAGCAGCCGCGGUAAAACGUAGGUCACAAGCGUUGUCCGGAAUUACUGGGUGUAAAGGGAGCGCAGGCGGGAAGACAAGUUGGAAGUGAAAUCCAUGGGCUCAACCCAUGAACUGCUUUCAAAACUGUUUUUCUUGAGUAGUGCAGAGGUAGGCGGAAUUCCCGGUGUAGCGGUGGAAUGCGUAGAUAUCGGGAGGAACACCAGUGGCGAAGGCGGCCUACUGGGCACCAACUGACGCUGAGGCUCGAAAGUGUGGGUAGCAAACAGGAUUAGAUACCCUGGUAGUCCACACCGUAAACGAUGAUUACGAGGUGUUGGAGGAUUGACCCCUUCAGUG